GCCAGAGAGACAGCAUGAUGGUUUGAGCAUUGGACUAUGACUCUGGAGACCAGGGUUCAAAUCCCUGCUCAGCCG